AACGAACGCUGGCGGCGCGUCUUAAGCAUGCGAGUCGAACGGCAAGAGAGGAGCUUGCUUCUCUCCUAGAGUGGCGGACUGGUGAGGAACACGUGGGUAAUCUACCCUUAAGAUGGGGAUAGCUGCUAGAAAUAGCAGGUAAUACCGAAUACACUCGGCAUAUCACAAGAGGUGUUGAGGAAAGGAAGCUACGGCUUCGCUUGAGGAUGAGCUUGCGUCCCAUUAGCUAGUUGGUGAGGUAAAGGCCCACCAAGGCGACGAUGGGUAUCCGGCCUGAGAGGGUGAACGGACACAUUGGGACUGAGAUACGGCCCAAACUCCUACGGGAGGCAGCAGCUAAGAAUAUUCCGCAAUGGACGGAAGUCUGACGGAGCGACGCCGCGUGGAUGAAGAAGGCUGAAAAGUUGUAAAAUCCUUUUGUUGAUGAAGAAUAAGGGUGAGAGGGAAUGCUCAUCUGAUGACGGUAAUCGACGAAUAAGCCCCGGCUAAUUACGUG
rnacentral:rRNA from 1 species